UAGGGAAUCUUCCACACUGGACGAAAGUCUGAUGGAGCAACGCCGCGUGAGUGAAGAAGGGUUUCGGCUCGUAAAACUCUGUUGUUAAAGAAGAACAUAUCUGAGAGUAACUGUUCAGGUAUUGACGGUAUUUAACCAGAAAGCCACGGCUAACUACGUGCCAG
rnacentral:rRNA from 1 species